GGAGAGGCGGACAUGGGUGCGUCAAGCGCUCUCGAAAAGCGUCGGGUGUAACAGCCUUGCAGGUUCGAGUCCUGCCCUCUCCGCCA
rnacentral:tRNA from 1 species